GUCCUCGCUUCGGCAGCACAUACGCUAAAAUUGGAACGAUACAGAGAAGGUUAGCAUGUCCCCUGCACAAAAAUGACAUGCAAAUUUGUGAAGCAUUCCAUAUUUUU